UACGGAGGGAGCUAGCGUUGUUCGGAAUUACUGGGCGUAAAGCGCACGUAGGCGGCUAUUUAAGUCAGGGGUGAAAUCCCGGGGCUCAACCCCGGAACUGCCCUUGAAACUGGGUAGCUAGAAUCUUGGAGAGGUCAGUGGAAUUCCGAGUGUAGAGGUGAAAUUCGUAGAUAUUCGGAAGACCACCAGUGGCGAAGGCGACUGACUGGACAAGUAUUGACGCUGAGGUGCGAAAGCGUGGGGAGCAAACAGG
rnacentral:rRNA from 1 species